GUUCCCGGCCCUUGGCUAGGUGUCACUGCUCACAUCCCUUCUUGGUGGGUUCCUGUGACACCAGAAUUGAAUUCACUUGGUGACUGUCACCUCUGAAGUCCUGGCUGGGACUGCCUCAGCCAGCGUCAGCCAAGCAAGCCUCAUUCUCCCCAGGCCUGAGCCUGCGUGAGCCCUAGGGAAGAGGCCCAUCCUGUGGCCGCUCCAACGGUGGGAUCCGGGGACACCAGGAAGGAGGCCUGCAGGCGGAGGAGCUGAGCAAUGGAAGCAAAUGCGUCUCUGGGUCACACCCGAAUGGGUGCCGCAUGCUGCAGAGACCGGACAGGCUGAGUGGGAGAGCGACCAGCACCAAGGCCCUGUAGACAUCAGCUUUGUGCUCACGUGUGUAGGAACCAAGGCUGCACCAUGUGGGGGUGAGGGUGGGCACUGUUCCAGUGAAGUCCGCAGACCCACGCCAGGACCCGGGCUGCAGAACUUGAUUCCUGGAGGGGCGGGAGACAGCAGCUGGCAGGAGGAUGCCCAGGACCCUGGGGGCCAAGGAUGGGAGAGGUGGCAGGACGUGGAGGCCCAGGGACAGCAUGUGCCACCCACAAUGCCUGCUUCCUGCAGAGAUGCAGCACCAGGAACAGAAUUGCAGCCAUGAAUCACAAACUCUGUAAUGUGCCGACAGAGCCUGUCCUUCUGAAAGCAACACCAAAAUCCAACUGAACAGGAAGGGCUCCUCCUGAACCGCAGCACGUCUUAUACUUCUUUGCUUAGCGAAACCAGCGACAGAAAUGUUGGUUAGCGCUGCUGCAACCUGUGUUGGUGAUCCCCACGAGUUCCCUAAACUUCUGGAACUUCAAAUCCAGAUGCAGGAGAUGAGGGCAGAGAGGACGCCCACUCCGGAAAUCACACCGAACUCCUUAAAAUUUGGAAAGCGUUCUGAUUUACCGCGACCCUGCUCGCUCCACGAGAGGUGUGGCUGCUGCUCUCACCGCAGUGUCUCUCUCCAGUGAACAGUGACAAGCGACUGGCGAGGCGUUGGCACCACAGCCUGCUGCCACCCGUGAGGAGAGCUCGGGGAGACCACUCAGCCAGGCGGGUGCACGGCACCUCUGAGUCAGCCGUCUCCUCGGCAUCUCUACCCCAUUUAUCAACACACAAUUACUGUCACCGCUGUGUUGCUGCUGGGUGCGAGGUUACGUGUGCCAGUCAGCAUAAAGAAAUGGCUGUAAUGUUGGCAUAAUUUUUCAUUAUCGUCUUCAUUAACCACAGUGAGUGGGAGGAAGAGCUUGCCUGUGCCCUGCCAUCGCCAUGACAACCCUUCCGAAGCCCGCUUGCCCAGUGUCCACGGCAGAGGAGUGGCUGAAUGUCCCCAUUAUUCUGCCCUCGCCCGCCUUGCCUGUGCCAAGGGAGGGAUGGACGCACGGGCGAGUGAUUUAUCCCCGCAUUCCUCCUGACAGCCUGGCAUGGUGUCGGGGCGUAAGGCGCUGGUCUGAUUUCACAGUUUAAUUACUGCUAAUCGGAGGGGGGCAGAGCUAAUGAGCCGCCAGCCUUUCAGAGAGUGCCAGGGAGCGCCCUGUCGGAGUCCCUGCCACCCACUCCUCCAGCAGCGCCCCUCCCCAGCCGGCAACUCCGCCUGCUUUAAGCAAGUGGCUCGCACUGGCUUUCGGGCACGGCAGAUGAUAAGCAAAUACGGAAAUACAAGGGCUGGAAACUGUGACUGCCUUAAUAACUGCAAGGCAGCACUGCGGACACCCGAGAGCUUUGCCAUUCCAAGCCCAGGACGGCUGAGCCUGCAGUGCUGGCCCCACUGAUCCGGGUCUCCAGGAGGCAGUGGGCAGGAGCUUCACCCUGGGCUCUCUUGAGUCUGUGCACAGCACCUCCCCACAGGAGCCUUCGCCAGGCUCUCAUCAGCACCCAGCCGGGGCCUCUCCGUGGGG
ensembl:lincRNA